AGAGCAAUAGCUCAGCGGUAGAGCCCCCGCUUCGCGUGCGGGGAGACCCGGGUUCGGUUCCCGGUUGCUUCC
rnacentral:tRNA from 1 species